UACGGGGGGGGCAAGCGUUGUUCGGAAUUACUGGGCGUAAAGGGCUCGUAGGUGGCCAACUAAGUCAACCGUGAAAUCCCACGGCUUAACCGGGGAACUGCGUUUGAUACUGGAUGGCUUGAGUUUGGGAGAGGGAUGCGGAAUUCCAGGUGUAGCGGUGAAAUGCGUAGAUAUCUGGAGGAACACCGGUGGCGAAGGCGGCAUCCUGGACCAAUACUGACACUGAGGAGCGAAAGCCAGGGGAGCAAACGGG
rnacentral:rRNA from 1 species